GAACCACUGGAACACAGGAAAGCCAGGAACAGAGUCAUCAUGUUCUACAAAAUCAUAAACCAUAUCGUAGAAGUUCCUGUACACCACCUGCUAAGCCAUCAUAACACCAGAACCCGUGGUUCCGUGUCAAACAACAUCAGACAGAUCAGGACCAGACUGAAUUGUUUCAAAUAUUCAUUCAUACCAGCCACCAUCAUAUCCUCGAACAACAUACCUCCAGACAUCCGAGCUUCCCCGUCUGUGGAACAUUUUCGACACGCCAUCCAAGAUGUCAGCGUGUCGACACUAC
rnacentral:lncRNA from 1 species